rnacentral:rRNA from 1 species
AUGAACGCUGGCGGCGUGCCUAAUACAUGCCCGUCGAGCGAACGGACGAGAAGCUUGCUUCUCUGAUGUUAGCGGCGGACGGGUGAGUAACACGUGGAUAACCUACCUAUAAGACUGGGAUAACUUCGGGAAACCGUAGCUAAUACCGGAUAAUAUUUUGAACCGCAUGGUUCAAAAGUGAAAGACGGUCUUGCUGUCACUUAUAGAUGGAUCCGCGCUGCAUUAGCUAGUUGGUAAGGUAACGGCUUACCAAGGCAACGAUGCAUAGCCGACCUGAGAGGGUGAUCGGCCACACUGGAACUGAGACACGGUCCAGACUCCUACGGGAGGCAGCAGUAGGGAAUCUUCCGCAAUGGGCGAAAGCCUGACGGAGCAACGCCGCGUGAGUGAUGAAGGUCUUCGGAUCGUAAAACUCUGUUAUUAGGGAAGAACAUAUGUGUAAGUAACUGUGCACAUCUUGACGGUACCUAAUCAGAAAGCCACGGCUAACUACGUG